rnacentral:rRNA from 1 species
GUGCAGCAGGCGAGAAACUCCGCAAUGCUCGAAAGAGUGACGGGGAGUUCCAAGUGCCUACGCUUAGCGUAGGCUGUUCAGAUGCCUAAAAAGACAUCUGGAGUAAGGGCUGGGUAAGACGGUGCCAUCUGCAGUGGUAAUGAAAACUUGCUACUUGCAAGGCAUAAGCCGCCGCGGUAAUACCCGCAGCCCGAGUGGUAGUCGCUUUUAUUGGGCCUAAAGCGUCCGUAGCCGGUCUGGUAAAUGCCUGGGGUAAAUCGUGGGGCCUAACCUCACGAAUUCCGGGUAGACUGCCAGACUUGGGACCGGUUGAGGGAGAGGGUACUCCAGGGGUAGGGGUGAAAUCCUGUAAUCCUUGGAGGACCACCGGUGGCGAAAGCGCUCUCCUAGGACGGUCGACGGUGAGGGACGAAAGCCAGGGGAGCAAACCGGAUUAGAUACCCGGGUAGU